rnacentral:rRNA from 1 species
UACAGAGGGGGCUAGCGUUGUUCGGAAUUACUGGGCGUAAAGCGUGCGCAGGCGGUUCGCUAAGACCGAUGUGAAAUCCCCGGGCUUAACCUGGGAACUGCAUUGGUGACUGGCGGGCUAGAGUAUGGCAGAGGGGGGUAGAAUUCCACGUGUAGCAGUGAAAUGCGUAGAGAUGUGGAGGAAUACCGAUGGCGAAGGCAGCCCCCUGGGCCAAUACUGACGCUCAUGCACGAAAGCGUGGGGAGCAAACAGG